rnacentral:tRNA from 1 species
GCCUGGACAGCUCAGUAGUAGAGCUCCUGACUUGAGAUGCAGGGGUCCUGGGUUCAACUCCUGAUCUAGUCA